ensembl:lncRNA
GGUUCUCAUUUGAAAACUUUAACACUAUACGUUUUAUUUAUGUUCGCUUUUCAGGUUAUUUAUCUGUAUUAAGCAUUUAAUAUUCUUGGGCAAAUCACUAUUUGGUUUAAAUCUGUAGCUUUUCUGGUUUCAUUGGUGCUCUGUCAGUGUACCUCAACAGAAGUUAUAAACCACAAUACUUUAUUGCAAGGACAGUCUCAGAAAAUAAUAAAGCACCUCAUCAGAAGCCCGUAAGGUGUUCUGGAGACAUUUACUGAAUAAGCUAUAUUUUGCCCACUUGGGAUAGACAAACAUGCAGACAUUCAGAGUUGUUUUGUUAAUGAGUUGUUUCAAGGGAAGAGAACUACUUUUUUAGAGGAAAUGAUUAAAAUGUCUUAAAAAAGCAGUUCUAAAGCAAUUACUGAAGUUAACAGGGUUGUCCACUUGACCAUAACUUCUCUUAGCAUGCACAAACUCCUAUCUAACCACCUGCCGAAUUCCAAAGGUGUGAUAAAAAUACUUUGAUGGGGAGGAUAAGAUAAACAUUAGAAUGUUUACAGCCUAUUGCUUUUUAAGUCCUAGAUCAGAUUCACUUCAUUGACAUAGACUCAACCAGGGGGAGUAAAGAUACAAAUUAGUGAUCUGAGGAAUAGUUAUGGAAUGUUCUUUGUGUAAGCCUUAUUUAUAAAUAUACUGUUUUAAACAUUUCAGUAGAGCAUUGUAGAUGAAGUCUAUUUAAAAUAAAUUGAAUAAUAAAUUGAAUACCACUGGUAUAGAUGUAGAUUAUAUGAGUGACCUAAUUAUUCUGAUAUAUUUUGUUAAAAUUUGUAGUAACUACAAUCCUGAAGUUUUUCUAAAACUGAAAACAUUUUUAUGUAUGAAGUGAGAUGUAUUUAUAUAUGACACUGAUUGAUUUUUAAGGCCCUUCUUCUAUAGACCAAGAGGGAUGAAAAAGUCUGACAUCACAUCUAGAAGUUUACUACCAUCUUUGGAAUGAUUCCAAUGUCAGAAGUCACAGCAAUGGUGGAGUUGCUAUUGAUGUUCUCAGUCCUGUUUAAUCUUGGUCAUUCUUCACUUCAUACAAUAUUUUAUCUUUCCUAUCAUGGUGAGUCACAUACCUAUUACCUCCCAUCACUUUCACCUUGUGAUUUCUGCUUCAUUAAAGGAUUCGUGUAUUCAUCAAAUUUAGUAACUGGACUUACUUUGGCCAGUGACACAGGCAGUUUUGACAAAUGCUCCAAUAAGGGUUAAUCGCAACAGACGUAAGAAACAGAGUGCAAUUGUUAAAAACAUUUAUCAACAACUUUGCUGUGCUUUGCCCAACAAAAUUGAUAUUAAUGAGAUGCUUUGUAAAUAUUGCAUGCUACAUGAACUGCUUAGGAUUAUUUCUUUUUCCCUAUGAAACAAAUCAGUUCUAAUUAAAAAUUAAAACACAAUUAUUUCACCCUGUCUUUGAGAUGUUACAUUUGAAAUUAUAAUAUUUGUUUCUGUUAUGGUUUUGUAAUUUUGCUAUUGGUAUUCCACAUCAUAACAUCAUGUACAGCACGGGUAAUUAAAGAGUUAAUACUCCAGUUCCAUGGAUUGACAACUUUCCAGAUACCUGCUUCUCAAAAGAGAAGAACUACAUAUCCCAGGGGACCUCAUGGUCAGAGGAGGAAGAUAUGUCACAGAAGUCACAGGAUCUUGUUCUUGGAUGGGAUCUCUCUCUCUCUUUCACUGGCAGAGGGUGCAGGUGUGCAUCCAAGCUGUGCGCCUUCAUUCAAGUAGGCCUUACCAUUUUGGAAGCUCUUUUAUUUUAUUUAUUAUCCUCAACUUCAAUUAGGUUGUAUUAUAUUGUGUUAUCUUGCAUCCUGAUAUAAAAGUUGGUAAAAUAAGCCUUCCUCCUCAGAUUGUUGCCGCUGCUCUUUUUCUCUCUCUGAGCCCAGCUCCCAUUACCCUACUCCUUUCCCUUUUCCCUUCCUAUUUUUGGGAGCCAGGAGGUCCACAGGCCUACUGCCCCCCUGUCACAGGCAUAGACUGAUAUAGAUAACUCUGACAGUUUCUGAAGUGCUCAGUGGUGACUUAUCCACAAACUCCAUGUUUCCCUUUUGGGUCUUUCAUUAUCACCCUGAGAUUUAGAAGGGUAUUCCUCUUGCUGAAAAUUUUGCCCAGUCUUUGAAUUCACAGAAUUAGUACUUGAUUGACUGCUGAUGACUUUAGAAGAGAAUAGGGGAGUACCAUGCGUUCAAAGGUUUUCUUGCAAAUCACAUCU